AUUGAACCGCUGGCGGAAUGCUUUACACAUGCAAGUCGAACGGUAGAGGGGGCAACCCCUUGAGAGUGGCGAACGGGUGAGUAAUGUAUCGGAACGUGCCCAGUCGUGGGGGAUAACGUAGUGAAAAUUACGCUAAUACCGCAUACGAUCUAUGGAUGAAAGCGGGGGAUCGCAAGACCUCGCGCGAUUGGAGCGGCCGAUAUCAGAUUAGGUAGUUGGUAGGGUAAAGGCCUACCAAGCCAACGAUCUGUAGCUGGUCUGAGAGGACGACCAGCCACACUGGAACUGAGACACGGUCCAGACUCCUACGGGAGGCAGCAGUGGGGAAUUUUGGACAAUGGGCGAAAGCCUGAUCCAGCCAUUCCGCGUGCAGGAUGAAGGCCCUCGGGUUGUAAACUGCUUUUGUACAGAACGAAAAGGUCUCUAUUAAUACUAGGGGCUCAUGACGGUACUGUAAGAAUAAGCACCGGCUAACUACGUGCCAGCAGCCGCGGUAAUACGUAGGGUGCAAGCGUUAAUCGGAAUUACUGGGCGUAAAGCGUGCGCAGGCGGUUAUAUAAGUCAGAUGUGAAAUCCCCGGGCUCAACCUGGGAACUGCAUUUGAGACUGUAUAGCUAGAGUACGGUAGAGGGGGAUGGAAUUCCGCGUGUAGCAGUGAAAUGCGUAGAUAUGCGGAGGAACACCGAUGGCGAAGGCAAUCCCCUGGACCUGUAC
rnacentral:rRNA from 1 species